AAGAAUGACACCCAUCCUUCUCUCCUGGAGACUUGGUUGCCCAAGAAAAAGCAUGUAUAUAAAUAGAAAUUCUCCUAGCAAUAGGAAUAAUAUGAACAGUCAAUGUGGCAAAUUGAAUUAGCUGUAAAUCAGUUUUCUUAACUUUGAAUCAGGGUUAAUUAAUCUUAACCUCUUUGACUUGACAAAAUAAGAUCAGAGAGAAAGGUUAUUUUCAACAUUGAGGGUUAGCCAAAGUAAAUCAGCAAUGAUAAUAACACAAAUAGUAAUAAAGUAAGAAGAGUAAUAUAAUGAAAACUGUUUCGUUGAGCACCUAUAUAUCAGAGGCUUGAUGCUAACUAAAUACCGUAUUUAUAUUGCUUUACAAAAUUUCUAAGAUGAAUUGCAUGUUAGAUAUUAUUAUCCUCAUUUCAGAUGAAAGAAUACUUAAGUAACUUGGCUGAUUAUGAAACUAAACUCUUAGUAGUAAGUGAUUGGGCUGUGAUUGGAGCCUAUUGUACAAAGUCUUCGAUUUGCAACUCUAAUCAACUGACAUUGGCUUGGAGUGGUCUAGAACUUCAAUGCAUUGUCCAGGGAUGGCCAGAAAGAGUGCUGAGACUGAUUAGCAACAUCUGCUGUGAGCCUAAGAAGGGACUGGGGGUAGCAGAAUACAGCAGCAUGUUUCCCUGCUGCAUCACGCUGCCUCUCAAGCUAAUGUAACUGAGGGAGGAAGGAAAGUCUCCUCACCUUACAGUAUAUUUUGGUGAAGUGUCACAGUGUGACACUCUUGUGAUAAAAA